rnacentral:tRNA from 1 species
GGCGGGGUAGCUCAGUUGGUUAGAGCACAGGACUCAUAAGCCUGGGGUCGUUGCUCGUUAUCCUUGCCC